rnacentral:siRNA from 1 species
CACUUUCUGUGACUGAACUGACC